rnacentral:rRNA from 1 species
UACGGAGGGGGCUAGCGUUGUUCGGAAUUACUGGGCGUAAAGCGCGCGUAGGCGGCUUUGUAAGUUAGAGGUGAAAGCCCGGAGCUCAACUCCGGAACUGCCUUUAAGACUGCAUCGCUAGAACGAUGGAGAGGUGAGUGGAAUUCCGAGUGUAGAGGUGAAAUUCGUAGAUAUUCGGAAGAACACCAGUGGCGAAGGCGACUCACUGGACAUCUGUUGACGCUGAGGUGCGAAAAGCGUGGGGAGCAAACAGGG